rnacentral:rRNA from 1 species
UACGUAGGGGGCUAGCGUUGUCCGGAAUUAUUGGGCGUAAAGAGCUUGUAGGCGGUUUGUCGCGUCUGCUGUGAAAUUUCGGGGCUCAACCCCGAACUUGCAGUGGGUACGGGCAGACUAGAGUGUGGUAGGGGGGACUGGAAUUCCUGGUGUAGCGGUGAAAUGCGCAGAUAUCAGGAGGAACACCGAUGGCGAAGGCAGGUCUCUGGGCCAUAACUGACGCUGAGAAGCGAAAGCAUGGGGAGCGAACAGG